GAACAUAUUCAUUUUAAUGUUAACAUUAUCGCUAUUAUUAGUUACACUUUAAACAUUUUAUUUUUUAUUUUAAUACAGUCACCAUUGUUUAGAUUAGAGCGAAGACGAUGAUCGAAACUGAAGUGAAAAUUAUACUGCAAGAAAUAGACAGGAAGAAAGACAUAACACAGAAACAGAAGCAAGAUACUGGUGAGAAAGUAUUAUCCCGGGUGUCCGAUAACAAACAGAAAAUAAAAUGGGUAUACGUCGUAUACUUCACACUCGUUCAUAUUCUUUCUUUUAUAGGUCU